rnacentral:rRNA from 1 species
GAUGAACGCUGGCGGCGUGCCUAAUACAUGCAAGUCGAGCGAACAGACGAGGAGCUUGCUCCUCUGACGUUAGCGGCGGACGGGUGAGUAACACGUGGAUAACCUACCUAUAAGACUGUGAUAACUUCGGGAAACCGGUGCUAAUACCGGAUAAUAUAUUGAACCGCAUGGUUCAAUAGUGAAAGACGGUUUUGCUGUCACUUAUAGAUGGAUCCGCGCCGCAUUAGCUAGUUGGUAAGGUAACGGCUUACCAAGGCAACGAUGCGUAGCCGACCUGAGAGGGUGAUCGGCCACACUGGAACUGAGACACGGUCCAGACUCCUACGGGAGGCAGCAGUAGGGAAUCUUCCGCAAUGGGCGAAAGCCUGACGGAGCAACGCCGCGUGAGUGAUGAAGGUCUUCGGAUCGUAAAGCUCUGUUAUUAGGGAAGAACAAAUGUGUAAGUAACUAUGCACGUCUUGACGGUACCUAAUCAGAAAGCCACGGCUAACUACGUG